UACGUAGGGGGCGAGCGUUUGUCCGGAUUUAUUGGGCGUAAAGAGCUCGUAGGCGGCUUGUCGCGUCGACUGUGAAAACCCGAGGCUCAACUUCGGGCUUGCAGUCGAUACGGGCAGGCUAGAGGUUCGGUAGGGGGAGACUGGAAUUCCUGGUGUAGCGGUGAAAUGCGCAGAUAUCAGGAGGAACACCGGUGGCGAAGGCGGUUCUCUGGCAUUACCUGACGCUGAGGAGCGAAAGUGUGGGGAGCGAACAGG
rnacentral:rRNA from 1 species